UAGGGAAUCUUCCACAAUGGACGAAAGUCUGAUGGAGCAACGCCGCGUGAGUGAAGAAGGUUUCGGAUACGUAAAGCUCUGUUGUUGGUGAAGAAGGAUAGAGGCAGUAACUGGUCUUUAUUUGACGGUUAAUCAAACCAGAAAGUCACGGCUAACUACGUGCCAC
rnacentral:rRNA from 1 species